rnacentral:misc_RNA from 1 species
GUGGGAAUCACCAGGGUGAUCAGAACUUCACCUAAUGAGGAUGUUAAAGCUGAUCAAAACAGUUGGAAAGUUGAUAAUAAAUAAUAAAGGAGUGAUAAGA